rnacentral:rRNA from 1 species
GAUGAACGCUAGCGGCAGGCUUAACACAUGCAAGUCGAGGGGCAGCACGGGUAGCAAUACUUGGUGGCGACCGGCGCAAGGGUGCGUAACGCGUGAGCAACAUGCCCGUAUCAGGGGGAUAAUCCAUGGAAACGUGGUCUAAUACCCCAUAGUAAGUUUUUGGGGCAUCUCAAAGAUUUUAAAGCUUUGGUGGAUACUGAUUGGCUCGCGUGACAUUAGCUAGAUGGUAAGGUAACGGCUUACCAUGGCUACGAUGUCUAGGGGUUCUGAGAGGAAGGUCCCCCACACUGGAACUGAGACACGGUCCAGACUCCUACGGGAGGCAGCAGUGAGGAAUAUCGGACAAUGGAUGGAAAUCUGAUCCAGCCAUGCCGCGUGCAGGAAGACGGCCCUAUGGGUUGUAAACUGCUUUUGUAUGGGAGCAAUAAGAUCUACGUGUAGAUUGAUGAGAGUACCAUACGAAUAAGCACCGGCUAACUCCGUGCCAGCAGCCGCCGUAAUAC